rnacentral:rRNA from 1 species
GAUUGAUGGUGCUUGCACCUGAUUGACGAUGGAUCACCAGUGAGUGGCGGACGGGUGAGUAACACGUAGGUAACCUGCCCCGGAGCGGGGGAUAACAUUUGGAAACAGAUGCUAACACCGCAUAACAACGAAAGCCACAUGGCUUUUGUUUGAAAGAUGGCUUUGGCUAUCACUCUGGGAUGGACCUGCGGUGCAUUAGCUAGUUGGUAAGGUAACGGCUUACCAAGGCGAUGAUGCGUAGCCGAGUUGAGAGACUGAUCGGCCACAAUGGAACUGAGACACGGUCCAUACUCCUACGGGAGGCAGCAGUAGGGAAUCUUCCACAAUGGGCGCAAGCCUGAUGGAGCAACACCGCGUGAGUGAAGAAGGGUUUCGGCUCGUAAAGCUCUGUUGCUGGAGAAGAACGUGCGUGAGAGUAACUGUUCACGCAGUGACGGUAUCCAACCAGAAAGUCACGGCUAACUACGUGCCAGCAGCCGCGGUAAUACGUAGGUGGCAAGCGUUAUCCGGAUUUAUUGGGCGUAAAGCGAGCGCAGACGGUUGCUUAGGUCUGAUGUGAAAGCCUUCGGCUUAACCGAAGAAGUGCAUCGGAAACCGGGCGACUUGAGUGCAGAAGAGGACAGUGGAACUCCAUGUGUAGCGGUGGAAUGCGUAGAUAUAUGGAAGAACACCAGUGGCGAAGGCGGCUGUCUGGUCUGCAACUGACGCUGAGGCUCGAAAGCAUGGGUAGCGAACAGGAUUA